CUGGAGGGUCGGAGAAGAACUGCAUCUAGUCUGCCUCUGCAGCACUCCGCUCAGGUGCAAGCUCGUCCAGUGACUGCGUCCUCAGCCGACGCCUGGAGGGUUCUUCUCUUCACUCGCACCACGAGAGGCUGACAGAUGAUGAGGUGGAGGGAUAUUUCUUCUUCUGAGGGCUUCAACUGACGGAAUAACUUUACAGAUUGUUUUUAAUUUGUUUCAAUGAACAGAGAAGAAUCACAAAUGUUUUUUCUUCGGACAAAUUCCGUUACCGAUGGGAAACAUGGAGAAAAGAAAAAAACAUUUGUUUAACAUUUAACCAACGUCUGCUCUUUUUUGGGUUGGACUGAUGGAGGAUCUGUUUCAAACAGAAAAGAUGUUUUUUAAUCAUCUGAGUUGAUUUUUGCACAUCUGGAUUCGACCUGAUUAUAAGGAAACAUCUGGAAAUCGCUCGGAGCUGAAAUUAGAGUCAUCUUUAAUCUUGCUCAGAACCUUUUACUUUGAAAAAGUGGUUAUUUAUUUGUCUUUCUUGUUUUCACUCCUGAAUAUAACUGGACUGUUUCAAUCAACUAAAAAGGUGCGUUUGAUUUAUACACCCUCACAUGAGGUCAGUUAUGUCAGCAUCUUUUUAUAAACUUUCCUCCAAAAAACGACUUUUACAGACAGUUAAGGUUUUUCUUCGCUCUUAUUGGCUGCUUUUUAAGGCCGCGCCUUUCCACACUUAUGCAUGGCCUGUUAUUGGACUGAACUCAUCAGCGUUGCGUUGAACCGACCAAUCAUAGCUGAUGAUGAUGAUGGACUCAUCAGUUUUUACUCAGCCAAGUUAUUUCUCUAUAAAUGUCUCAGAUUGUAUAUUUUGUAAAAGAGACUUUGAAGAAGUUUCGUCUUGUGAUUCUUCAGGAGAUAAAUGUUUGGGGUCAAAGGUUAAAUGACGUCUGACAGUCACAUUCCUCUGGCUAUGAAGUAUUGAUCAACGUGUUUGUUUAUUGAUUGAUUUAUGUGUAUUCUUCAUUCCAGACGUAAAGUAGAUUUUUCUAGGAGCAGCUCUUAUUGAUGAAUGUUGUUGCAGUGACGUUUUGAAAUCAGUCGUUCUCGCUCUUUUUAAAUCCGAGGAGUUCAGGUCUGAAAAAAAGUUUCACUUUUUAUUCCCCAAAAAAUCCAAAGUGAUGAACCUGUGGACAGAGUGUGGUUCCUCUGAAAAGACUGUUGUUGAUGUUGUUGUUGUUUUUGUGAUGCUAGCUGAGCUCUGUGGUUGCCAUGGUAACCUGACCUGACUGUUGCUGCGCUUGUUGCUGAAGCUCCUUGUGAUGACGCUGUUAACAUGUUUCUAUGCUUCUGUGUGUGAUGACAAGGCUGCUGACUCACACACAUACACACAAUAUAUAUACACUCAGUGACCUGGGCCCUGUGCUACGCAGCUGGAUUUGGAAGAGUUGAACCAGGAUAACCUCAGAUCCUGCUUCAUAGUUCAGAAUCCGGGUCUGAGACGUGAACUGGACAAAAUGUCCUCACAACUAUGGUUUUAAACCAAACUCUGAUCUCACAGACAUAAAAAGACAUGAACAUAUGCAAACACACACACACGCGCCUGGACUGUCGGGAGCUGAGUGAAGCUGGAAUCUGAGUUUCCUGACAUUUUUAAAUGAUGACGCAGACGCCAGCAUUCUGAUUGGUUGUUAUAAGUCACAUGACUUGACUAUCAGCGGUGAACUCUUCACCUCCACCUCGUCAAAUUCCUGCUCCUUCUUUUUACCAUCGCUGAGCACUAAGUGACCAACUGCAGAGGAGACAAUCUACUUCCUGUUUACACCACAUGACCAGUGCACAUGAAUGGUCAUUAGUGUGGAUGGAGAUUAUUUCUGAAAAGGAGCUAAAGCUAAACUCAAAAGUGCCACAUGAAGAAGAGGAAGAGUUCAGGGGUGGAGCUGGUUUUCUUACAGAUGUAGGAACACUCUUAAGCACUUGUCAGGAAAAACAAUGAUGUAAAAAAUGAACCAAGCUUGUUGGAUUGUCUCUUCAGCUUCACAUCAGCUCCUGACGGGGUCGUUUCUCAGCCUCAGCAGUGACGUGAACGCAGCUCCAAGCCAUCGUGUUUGACUGUUCUCUAGAGCAUGACUCUAUUUUUCUAUAAGAGACGACGAGUCUAUUUUGUCAAUAAAGUUUAAAGAGUGAACGAAGCCUUAAAGAUUCUGAGCUGCAGCAGAAGAAAGAAACGGUUGAUGUUUUUAAACUGCAUGAUGAACAAAAAGCCAUUUACAGACGACAUUGUGACGUUAUGCUAACAUUUCUCUCACCAGCAGAACACCAAGAAUGUUUUUAUAUUCAUCAGCAGGAGCAUUGCAUUCUGGGAAAUGUCUAGGUUAGUUUAGAGCUGGAGGUUCACUGUAAAAAAUGAUGUGCCACUUUGAUAAGGACGUUUUACUGACCAUGUUAAAAAAUGUUUUAUCUUUAAAGUCUGAUUUGAAGUUAAAGCAAAUCAGAAACAUGUUCUAUAAAUCAGUGCAGUGAUUGAUUAUUGAUGUUUGAUUAUUGAUUGUUAACGCCUCCGUGAGUCGAACAUGUUUGACCCUUCAAAAUAAAAGUGGCACAACAUUUUUCACGUGUCUGUUAAUCCAGCGUUGUUGCAAACGAAAGGUCGUUUCACAUUGUGUGACGCGUUUUGUGAUCUUUGUGAGUGACGCCUAAAUGUGAUCCGGAGCUUCCUGUCUGAUCAGCUGCUGUUGCUAUGGAGAAAAAUCAAUGUCGGUUAAAAGUUUAGAAAUGACCUCUGAUUGGAUUAUUCACCGAUUGUUGACCUCUUUACUAAAUAUGUUCUGUGACCUUUGACCUUUUGUCAGGUCAGUGUCUGUUUUGAUGAUUCAGACUCAAACAUUAUUUUGACAAACUCAAGAGGUGCUGAGUGUGUCCCAUGAUCCUUUGCAGCAGGAUGAGGUCGGACAGAAAGCUCCGGAAGCCUUCGAUCUUCUAAUUGUAAAGUUUUUAUCUUCAAAUCUUUUUGUGUAUAUACAUGAAAUAUAACCUGAAUCUAUAUAUUCUGUACGGACGAGUGUAUUUCAUGUGUUGUUUUCGUGGCCCAUCGUUGCUGUCAGAUCCUGCGUGGCCCUGCCCCUCCUGGCCUCUGAUUGGUCUAGGAGUUUAUUGAUAUAAGGGGUGGGGCCUGCUUUUAUUUUUCUGAGACAGAGUUCAAUGUGUCCACGACAUAUUUACUGGAAAACUAAAGAUAUUUUUUAUGGACUUUGGUGUAAAUGUUCUUCAAAUGAUUCUACUUGUUUUCUACGAACACAGACACACACACGCACAGACAGACACACACACACAGACAGACGCACACACACACACGGAAACUCACUGUCUUCCCCCAAACUUAAACCUGAUUUAAUAUGAACCUUUAAACUGCAUUAAAGUACCUGGGACGACACAGUCUCGCAGUGGGAAACAGAAACAAACAAGCAAACACACCACAAACACAUUGGAGUACAAUAAUAAAACUAUUUUGUUGUGUAAA